UGGCAGCAGCUCUACUAGUACAUUUUUCCUUGAUAUCAACGAAGAUACAGAGCCAGCAUUUUAUGACCGAUCUGGACCCAUAAAGGAUAAAAAUUCAUUCCCUUUCUUUGCUUCUAGUAAACUUGUGAAGAAUCGUAUCUUAAAUUCGCUUACUUUGCCUAACAAAAAACAUCGUAGUAGCAGUGAUCCAAAAGGAGGGAAAUUAUCAUCUGAAAGUAAGACAAGCAACAGGCGAAUCAGAACACUUACGGAGCCCAGUGUUGAUUUUAAUCAUAGUGAUGAUUUUACACCCAUAUCCACUGUACAGAAAACAUUACAAUUAGAGACUUCAUUUAUGGGGAAUAAGCACAUUGAAGACACUGGUAGUACACCAAGCAUUGGAGAAAAUGACUUAAAAUUCACCAAGAAUUUUGGUACAGAGAAUCACAGAGAAAAUACAAGCCGAGAGAGGUUAGUAGUAGAAAGUUCAACGAGCUCACAUAUGAAGAUACGUAGCCAAAGUUUUAAUACAGACACUACAACAAGUGGCAUAAGUUCAAUGAGCUCAAGUCCUUCACGAGAGACAGUAGGUGUAGAUGCUACAACUAUGGACACAGACUGUGGAAGCAUGAGUACUGUGGUAAGUACUAAAACUAUUAAGACAAGCCACUAUUUGACGCCACAGUCUAACCAUCUGUCUCUCUCCAAAUCAAAUUCGGUGUCCCUGGUGCCUCCAGGUUCUUCUCAUACGCUUCCUAGAAGAGCACAGUCCCUUAAAGCACCCUCUAUUGCUACAAUUAAAAGUCUAGCAGAUUGUAACUUUAGUUACACAAGUUCUAGAGAUGCUUUUGGCUAUGCUACACUGAAAAGACUACAGCAACAAAGAAUGCAUCCAUCCUUAUCUCACUCUGAAGCUUUGGCAUCUCCAGCAAAAGAUGUGCUAUUUACUGAUACCAUCACCAUGAAGGCCAACAGUUUUGAGUCCAGAUUAACACCAAGCAGGUUCAUGAAAGCCUUAAGUUAUGCAUCAUUAGAUAAAGAAGAUUUAUUGAGUCCUAUUAAUCAAAAUACCCUGCAACGAUCUUCCUCAGUGCGGUCCAUGGUGUCCAGUGCCACAUAUGGGGGUUCAGAUGAUUACAUUGGUCUUGCUCUCCCGGUGGAUAUAAAUGAUAUAUUCCAGGUAAAGGAUAUUCCCUAUUUUCAGACAAAAAACAUACCACCACAUGAUGAUCGAGGUGCAAGAGCAUUUGCCCAUGAUGCAGGAGGUCUUCCAUCUGGAACUGGAGGUCUUGUAAAAAAUUCUUUUCACUUGCUACGACAGCAGAUGAGUCUUACGGAAAUAAUGAAUUCAAUCCAUUCAGAUGCCUCUCUGUUUUUAGAAAGUACAGAAGACACUGGACUACAGGAACAUACAGAUGAUAACUGCCUUUAUUGUGUCUGUAUUGAAAUUCUGGGUUUCCAGCCCAGCAACCAACUGAGUGCAAUAUGUAGUCAUUCAGACUUUCAAGAUAUUCCAUAUUCUGAUUGGUGUGAGCAGACUAUCCAUAAUCCUUUAGAAGUGGUUCCCUCUAAGUUUUCGGGGAUUUCUGGAUGCAGUGAUGGGGUGUCUCAAGAAGGCUCAGCUAGCAGCACCAAAAGCACAGAAUUGUUACUAGGUGUUAAAACAAUUCCAGAUGAUACACCAAUGUGCCGUAUACUCCUUCGCAAAGAAGUUCUAAGAUUAGUCAUUAAUUUGAGUAGUUCAGUUUCAACUAAAUGUCAUGAGACUGGGCUUUUAACGUGAGUAAACUAUGUGCAUGAGUAUUAUUUGUUUAUUCUGUUUUUUAAGUCGAGAAAAGAUACUUGAAAUACUUCAAAAGUUAGGCUAGUUAACUUACAUCAGUAGUUCUAAACUGCAUUGCAUACCUGUGUGAGGCUAGAU
rnacentral:lncRNA from 1 species